rnacentral:rRNA from 1 species
UACGUAGGGGGCGAACGUUAUCCGGAAUUAUUGGGCGUAAAGGAUGCGUAGAUGGUAGAAUAAGUUAUUGGUCGAUGCCAAACUCAAUUUGGCGGAAGCUGGUAAUACUGUUCAGCUAGAGGGCAGGAGAGGUUGAUGGAAUUCUGUGUGGAGCGGUGAAAUGCGCAGAUAUCAGGAAGAACACCUAUGGCGAAGGCAGCUCUCUGGGACGGUACUGACGCUGAGACGCGAAAGCGUGGGGAGCGAACAGG